AGCUGAAGAGUGAUGCUCGGCCCCGGGCGACGCAGGGCCGCACCCAGCCUCCCACGCGUCGGAACCGCGGGGCGGGUCGGGCUUGUGUUGGUGCGCGCCCCGCAGCGCCCAGGGCAGAGGGGCGUUCCCGCACACGCGGCCGGGGCGCGGACUUGCUCUGCCGCGAGAGGACCCAUCUCGCCGCAGGUGUCCUAAGGCCUCGUUCCUGGCAGGCCGUCUGCUCCUGCUGGACCUGGUGGCUCUGCAGACACCUGCUGCCCAGCCGGCAGAGGGACUCACGCAGGGAAGGCCAGCACAGGUUCGCAGAGGGUGACAUCACUGUAGUUGGCCCAGUAAGCACAGGAGAGAGAAGAAAACCAGGAGCAGCAGGCGGCACGGAGGCAGGGCUACUGUAGGCCUGGGAGACGCUAGAACCUCUGAGUGCCCCGCGUGGACCCUGACCCCUCACCACAGACUCAGCGGUGCUGCCGUUCGUCAGUGACCUGUCUUCUUGCUGAUUCUUGUUCGUUGCAGGAAAAUGGGGUUGACGCCGGUGUCCCCUGUCUCAUCGGCUGAUGGACUCUCAUCGAGGUUCCUGUCGUAACCCUUCCUCACUGGAUUUUGGGCACACGCACACAGGUGUCCAG